AACGAACGCUGGCGGCAGGCUUAACACAUGCAAGUCGAGCGCUUAGCAAUACGAGCGGCAGACGGGUGAGUAACGCGUGGGAACGUACCCUUUUCUACGGAAUAACCCAGGGAAACUUGGACUAAUACCGUAUACGCCCCUCGGGGGAAAGAUUUAUCGGAGAAAGAUCGGCCCGCGUUGGAUUAGCUAGUUGGUGGGGUAAAGGCCUACCAAGGCGACGAUCCAUAGCUGGUCUGAGAGGAUGAUCAGCCACAUUGGGACUGAGACACGGCCCAAACUCCUACGGGAUGCAGCAGUGGGGAAUAUUGGACAAUGGGCGCAAGCCUGAUCCAGCCAUGCCGCGUGAGUGAUGAAGGCCUUAGGGUUGUAAAGCUCUUUCACCGGGGAAGAUAAUGACGGUACCCGGAGAAGAAGCCCCGGCUAACUUCGUGCCAGCCGCCGCAGUAACAC
rnacentral:rRNA from 1 species